rnacentral:rRNA from 1 species
UACGAGUGCCCCAAGCGUUAUCCGGAAUCAUUGGGCGUAAAGGGUGUGUAGGCGGCGUUGUUAGUCUCCUGUCAAAUCUCCCGGCUUAACCGGGAAUCUGCGGGGGAAACGGCAACACUAGAGGAUGCGAGAGGUGAAUGGAACUCAUGGAGUAGGGGUGAAAUCCGUUGAUAUCAUGGGGAACACCAAAGGCGAAGGCAAUUCACUGGCGCAUUUCUGACGCUGAGACACGAAAGCGUGGGUAGCGAACGGG